rnacentral:lncRNA from 1 species
AGUAGUGUGGUACUAUGUAAUGUGCGAAACAGUCUGACUGUCAGCCGCCCCUACUUCCGGCUAGCGAUAGUCGUAAUCACCAUCCAACAGGUUAUGAGCCCCGCGUAGUUGCGGCGGGUUGCGCUUUGUCGAGUAAAGACAAGAUAACCAAUAGGCUGUAGGCCAUUGAGCGCAAUGAGCGAGGAAAGCGGCUGCCCAGUAGGCGGCGCAGCAAAUGCUCGCAAGAUCCCUUGAGCUGCUCAACUAGGCUCGGGAUAAUGUAGGCAAAGUCAGCGUGACCGGCCGAGGAGGCCGGAAUUUGCGGACGGCAUCGCGUCUGGAGUUUGUCGGUCGCUCACUUUGGAGAAUGACCGGUGAUAAGCUGCUAAGGACUCGUUGAGAGUCGAGUGUGUACUCGCGGGAUGGCGAGGAAGCAAGCCUUAUCCUCAGCAUGCGUGACCAUUCCACUAUGGAGAGUUGGUGGAGGUCCUAGCUAAGAGGGCGGCGUUGGCGCAGCAAAGAGAACGUCCAGUGCCACAGGUGCCAGGGCUGGGGACAUUUCCAGAGGGAGUGCCCGGAGCAGGCCGCUGAGGGCGGCGGUGGCAACCAGGCGCGCGGUGCACGCGUAGGCCGGGACGGCAGUGACCGGCGCAUGAUGGCGGUGAACCAGGACCAGGGAAACGGCCGGGGGCGCGGCCGGGGGUCCGCGCCUAGUAGCGUUCGUAGGAGCAGAAGACAUGCUGUGGAGCAUAGACUUUGAUGCUAGCUCCGAUGUGAUGUGAACGGCCACGUUGGGCUGUCGGUGCGAGUAAAGCAUCGUGAGUAUGUCGGUGCGAGUAAGGCAUCGUGAGUACGAUAUGCGUGCGAGUAUGACACGCGGUGUGAGUGAAGCACCAGUAUGAGACGUGCAAGUGAAGCACGGGGUGUGAGUGAAGCACCUGAGAUUGUGUGAGCAAAUGCGAGUGAAGCUUUGCUACUGUUUGCACGAGUGAAGUGCACUGAGAGUGGUUUGCUAUGUGGCGAGUGAAGUCACAUGUGGCGAGUGAAGUCACGGACUGGCAAGGAUCCACGACUGGCAAGUGAAGUCAGAUGAACGAACAUGGCAAGUGAAGCCAGCGGUUGAGAGUUGCUGUUAUGCUCUUAUCAUAUGAUGUUAAAAGAUCAUCUUAUGUGCAUGGCUCUCUAGCACUUGAAGCUAUGAUGCCGGUAGUGCGGCAUGAUGCGGUGUGUGAAACCGCAGGUACGGUGAAGUGAAGCCGUAAGUACAGCGAAUGCGGGAGCAUUCGGACACGGGGGAGCCGUGCAGAAAUGAUUGAGUAUGGAUUUCCGGAUGGAAUUGAUUGCGAUAGAAGACCGUAUUGAUUUGUGCUGAUUAUGGACGAUGCAGUGAGAAAGAGAAAGACGUGAUCUUGAGGACACGAGAACAUGGGACGAUUGCAGUAGCACAGUGACUACAAGCGGCAAGCGUACGAGGUAUGCAGGAAUUGUUUGUAGCACGUGAUUUGAGGUAGGAGGCUAUUGCGAUACGUAAUUUGAGUAUGGAGUUCUGCCCGCGGGGGAGUGUUGAGAUAUCGGUCAGAACUAUCCAUAAGGGAGAACGUAGGGGAGUUCCGAGAGUGUGUGUGCAAUACACCAUGCAAGGACUUAACCCGGAACCCAUGCGAGGGUAUAAGCCAGAGAGCUACCCGAUAUAGUUAAGUAGUGUGGUACUAUGUAAUGUGCGAAACAGUCUGACUGUCAGCCGCCCCUACUUCCGGCUAGCGAUAGUCGUAAUCACCAUCCAACAG